GCGCGAGUGGCGAAAUUGGUAGACGCGCAGGUCUCAGAAGCCUGUGAGGUAAAACUUGUAGGAGUUCGAGUCUCCUCUCGCGCA
rnacentral:tRNA from 2 species